rnacentral:rRNA from 1 species
GUAGGGAAUCUUGCGCAAUGGGCGAAAGCCUGACGCAGCCAUGCCGCGUGAAUGAUGAAGGUCUUAGGAUUGUAAAAUUCUUUCACCGGGGACGAUAAUGACGGUACCCGGAGAAGAAGCCCCGGCUAACUUCGUGCCAGCAGCCGCGGUAAUACGAAGGGGGCUAGCGUUGCUCGGAAUUACUGGGCGUAAAGGGAGCGUAGGCGGAUAGUUUAGUCAGAGGUGAAAGCCCAGGGCUCAACCUUGGAAUUGCCUUUGAUACUGGCUAUCUUGAGUUUGGGAGAGGUGAGUGGAACUCCGAGUGUAGAGGUGAAAUUCGUAGAUAUUCGGAAGAACACCAGUGGCGAAGGCGACUCACUGGCCCAAUACUGACGCUGAGGCGCGAAAGCGUGGGGAGCAAACAGGAUUAGAAACCCGUGUAGUCC